CGAUUAGGUGAAACUCAUUUAUAUUCUAGCAUCUAAUUCAUGCAUGAAAACUAAGUAUGCAUCCUUAAUAAACAAACAAGAAUCAAUUAUGAAUAAAAUAGAUAAUUGAAUUGCAAUCACAACUUAUCAAAUCACAAUUGGAAGAAAUCAAUUCAAAUCUCAAGCAUGUUCAUGGCUUCAAACUUCCCCCUAACUAAAUAGGGGUUUAGCCACUCAUAAUUGCAACAAAAUUAGAAAAUAACAAAAUAGACAUUGAAAACAAGAACGAAGUACACCUAAAACGCUCCAAAGUUCUAAGCUUGAAACGUCAAGGACCUUUGUUUUCACCACCUUGUUGUAGCACAAGUGUCUAGGAUGUGUAUGGAUAUAUGGAUGGAAUGGAUUUGCAUAGCUAAGAGAUGAAAGUGUAUGGAUUGGUGAGAUGUAGUAUGGCUAGAUGAAUGGAUGAAGGUCAUGGCAAGGAAAUUGUGUUUGUGAAUGAAGCUCUUUUGAUGGAUCAAGAUCUUUUUUUUAGGAAAGGGAAUGGUGGAUGUAUUUAUAGGCUAAGGAGAUGACCACUUCAAUUCCUUGCAUGUGCAGUUUGUAUGGGUGUGUGAUGUCCAUGUUUCCCUUUACAUUUGCACACACAUGACCUCCAUCAUUUCAGCCACAAAUCAACCCAUUUUCUGCCCAUGUGUGUGUCUUUCCUUUGCCCAUGUGUGUGUGUUUCCUUUUGAAGGAAAAAAUUUGUCCUAGCUAAGAACAUGUGAGAAUAUUUGAACACAUAUGCAAACUGUUAACACAUUAAAGUAGGCAUGCAUUAAAAACAAUUCUAAAACCCAUGACUUUCAAAGCCUAGUGAAUGGUGAACCAUAAGACUCUUUAACAACAUUAAAGAGAAGGUAAGAUUUAGAGAUUUAUUACCCUUGAAGCUCAUCCUUGUUUACACAAGGGAUUCACCCAAGUGGAGGGCCUUCAAGUCACCUCCUAGCUCCUUGGAUCUUCCUUGUGAUUUCCUUCCCUUUUUGUCCUCCUUUGCUCCUUGAGGAUGUAAGGAAAGGAUCUCUAAAAAAAACACCAAAGGUUUGGUGUCUCUAAGUCUCCACACCAAGGAUGAGGUGUGAAGAUGAAAUGGAUGACUUAGAGAAGAAAAGAUUGCUAGCUAUUUCUUCACUAUGUGGCCGGCCUCCUUGUAGAAAAAGAGAGAAUAAUGUUUCACCUCUUUGCCUCAAAGAAAACCCUAAUGAGAAAAUAGCUAUAAAGUUAACUUUAUACUACAUCACAUUUGAGUGGCAAACUUGUAAUUAAUUCAAGUUUGCAUCCACUCACCCUUAUGCCCGGCCUUGUCUUUGUUAUUGGGCUAAUUGACCAUUUUGUUUUAGUUGUCAUACAACUUAAACAUAAUGGGCUUUGUGGACCAAAACACUUUUGGGUCCCGAAACCCAAAACCAACUUAGAAGCCCAAUACGAACCUUUCGUAAAAUUAAUUAACUAAUUAAUUAAUCUUGACCAUUUUCAAUUAAACCAUUUAAUUGCAUAUCCAUUUCAUUUAUAUUUUUUCACUUUCAUCCUUACUCGGUGUACGAUCCAUUAGGUUCCAAUUAGCGAGGCAGUGGGCGAUUGUUACUCUUAACGAUCGAUUAUGAAUUGAAACUACAUUUCAAUUCUCCCUUUGAUUAAGAUUAGUGUUUGCUAAUCUUCAGGGCUUCCACAAACCAUGAGUGACACCUAGCAGCAUGUCAUGGUUACCCAAGCUAAGUAGAAGUGAUUGGAGAACCUAUCCAGUUACAACUACAACGCAAUACGGUCAUUCUCUAAUACAAUACUCUUAAUCACAUUGUUUGAGUGAUAGUUUGUUUCAUGUCUACUAUCCAAUGUGAUGCUUCUUUAUAUGAUUCAAUUGAAUAUGAUUUGGAACAUACUUCCUAAGUCAUAUUCGUAUGCUUUGGCCAAAGACUCCCGAAUCAUAUCUUAGAGUAUUCUCCUUCCACCAUGGAAGGUUAGAGAUCCCUUGUUGUGCAUUCAUAUGCCUACAUGACUUGAUAGCUUGACCCCAACAAUGCCAUGGACACUCUCAAUGGAAUGCCUUUGACAUGAUCAAAGAUCAAGGACCUAACCAUUAGACAUCUAUGAUGCCU
rnacentral:lncRNA from 1 species